UUGAUCCUGGCUCAGAGCAACGUUGGCGGGAUGUAUUAGGCAUGCAAGUCGAGCGGCAGCGAGGGCUUCGGCCCGGCGGCGAGCGGCGAACGGGUGAGUAACACGUAGGUUAUCUGCCUUACAGACUGGGAUAGCCACUGGAAACAGUGAUUAAUACCGGAUAUUGUCGAAAGAUGAAAGGUGCGUUUGCACCACUGUAAGAUGAGCCUGCGCUCUAUUAGCUUGUUGGUGGGGUAAUGGCCUACCAAGGCGAUGAUAGAUAGCCGACCUGAGAGGGUGAUCGGCCACAUUGGGACUGAGACACGGCCCAGACUCCUACGGGAGGCAGCAGCUAAGAAUAUUCCGCAAUGGGCGAAAGCCUGACGGAGCAAUCUCGCGUGAGUGAUGAAGGCCUUCGGGUUGUAAAGCUCUUUCGGUAGGGAAGAAUAAUAAUUAUAGGGAAUGCUGAUUAGAUGACGGUACCUACAGAAGAAGGACCGGCUAAUUACGUGCCAGCAGCCGCGGUAAUACGUAGGGUCCAAACGUUGUUCGGAAUCAUUGGGCGUAAAGGGUACGCAGGCGGCCCUGUAAGUUAGUGGUGAAAUCUUGAGGCUUAACCUCAAGACUGCCAUUAAUACUGCCAGACUAGAGUCGUAAUAGAGGCAGCAGGAAUUCCUGGUGUAGGAGUGAAAUCUGUAGAUAUCAGGAGGAACACCAAUAGCGUAGGCAAGCCGCUGGGUAACGAUUGACGCUCAUGUACGAAAGCUAGGGGAGCAAAAGGGAUUAGAGACCCCUGUAGUCCUAGCCGUAAACAAUGUACACUAGUUUUCCGGUGAGCUUUAAGCUUAGAGAACACAGCUAACGCGUCAAGUGUGCCGCCUGGGGAGUAUGCGCGCAAGCGUGAAACUCAAAGGAAUUGACGGGGGCUCGCACAAGCGGUGGAGCAUGUGGUUUAAUUCGAUGAUAAGCGAAGAACCUUACCUGGGCUUGAACGUGUAGUGCAAUCCUGUGAAAGCAGGAGUCUCUUCGGAGCACUAUGCGAGGUGCUGCAUGGCUGUCGUCAGCUCGUGUUGUGAAAUGUUGGGUUAAGUCCCGCAACGAGCGCAACCCUUAUCCUAUGUUGCUAAUCUACUUCGGUAGAAGGACUCUUAGGAGACUGCCCGGGUUAACCGGGAGGAAGGUGGGGAUGACGUCAAGUCCUCAUGGCCCUUAUGUCCAGGGCUACACACGUGCUACAAUGGGAGCAUAAAGGGAAGCAAGAUCGCGAGGUUAAGCAAAUCCCAAAAAACAUCCCUCAGUUCGGAUUGUAGUCUGCAACUCGACUACAUGAAGUUGGAAUCGCUAGUAAUCGCGGAUCAGCAAUGCCGCGGUGAUACGUUCUCGAGCCUUGUACACACCGCCCGUCACACCACCCGAGCUGAUUUCACCUGAAGUCGCUGUACCAACCGCAAGGAGGGAAGCGCCGAAGGUGGGUUUGUAAGGAGGGUGAAGUCGU
rnacentral:rRNA from 1 species